AUUGAACGCUGGCGGCAUGCUUUACACAUGCAAGUCGAACGGCAGCGCGGGCUUCGGCCUGGCGGCGAGUGGCGAACGGGUGAGUAAUACAUCGGAACGUGCCCAGUAGUGGGGGAUGGCCGGGCAAAAGCGGGAUUAAUACCGAAUCCGACCGGGGGGUAAAGGCGGGGGAUCUUCGGACCUGGCGCUAUUGGAGCGGCCGAUGGCAGAUUAGCUAGUUGGGGGGGUAAAGGCCAACCAAGGCGACGAUCUGUAGCUGGUCUGAGAGGACGACCAGCCACACUGGGACUGAGACACGGCCCAGACUCCUACGGGAGGCAGCAGUGGGGAAUUUUGGACAAUGGGCGAAAGCCUGAUCCAGCAAUGCCGCGUGUGUGAUGAAGGCCUUCGGGUUGUAAAGCACUUUUGGCGGGAACGAAAAGGACUGUGCCAAUACCACGGUUCGAUGACGGUACCCGCAGAAUAAGCACCGGCUAACUACGUG
rnacentral:rRNA from 1 species